rnacentral:rRNA from 1 species
UACGAAGGGGGCUAGCGUUGCUCGGAAUUACUGGGCGUAAAGCGCACGUAGGCGGUCUUUUAAGUCGGGGGUGAAAUCCUGGAGCUCAACUCCAGAACUGCCUUCGAUACUGGAAGACUUGAGUCCGGGAGAGGUGAGUGGAACUGCGAGUGUAGAGGUGAAAUUCGUAGAUAUUCGCAAGAACACCAGUGGCGAAGGCGGCUCACUGGCCCGGUACUGACGCUCAGGCGCGAUAGCGUGGGGAUCAAACAGG